rnacentral:rRNA from 1 species
AACAUCUAAGUACCCCGAGGAAAAGAAAUCAACCGAGAUUCCCCCAGUAGCGGCGAGCGAACGGGGAGGAGCCCAGAGCCUGAAUCAGUGUGUGUGUUAGUGGAAGCGUCUGGAAAGGCGCGCGAUACAGGGUGACAGCCCCGUACACAAAAAUGCACAUGCUGUGAGCUCGAUGAGUAGGGCGGGACACGUGGUAUCCUGUCUGAAUAUGGGGGGACCAUCCUCCAAGGCUAAAUACUCCUGACUGACCGAUAGUGAACCAGUACCGUGAGGGAAAGGCGAAAAGAACCCCGGCGAGGGGAGUGAAAAAGAACCUGAAACCGUGUACGUACAAGCAGUGGGAGCCUCUUUAUGGGGUGACUGCGUACCUUUUGUAUAAUGGGUCAGCGACUUAUAUUCUGUAGCAAGGUUAACCGAAUAGGGGAGCCGAAGGGAAACCGAGUCUUAACUGGGCGUUAAGUUGCAGGGUAUAGACCCGAAACCCGGUGAUCUAGCCAUGGGCAGGUUGAAGGUUGGGUAACACUAACUGGAGGACCGAACCGACUAAUGUUGAAAAAUUAGCGGAUGACUUGUGGCUGGGGGUGAAAGGCCAAUCAAACCGGGAGAUAGCUGGUUCUCCCCGAAAGCUAUUUAGGUAGCGCCUCGUGAAUUCAUCUCCGGGGGUAGAGCACUGUUUCGGCAAGGGGGUCAUCCCGACUUACCAACCCGAUGCAAACUGCGAAUACCGGAGAAUGUUAUCACGGGAGACACACGGCGGGUGCUAACGUCCGUCGUGAAGAGGGAAACAACCCAGACCGCCAGCUAAGGUCCCAAAGUCAUGGUUAAGUGGGAAACGAUGUGGGAAGGCCCAGACAGCCAGGAUGUUGGCUUAGAAGCAGCCAUCAUUUAAAGAAAGCGUAAUAGCUCACUGGUCGAGUCGGCCUGCGCGGAAGAUGUAACGGGGCUAAACCAUGCACCGAAGCUGCGGCAGCGACGCUUAUGCGUUGUUGGGUAGGGGAGCGU